rnacentral:rRNA from 1 species
CAAGCGGUGGAGCAUGUGGUUAAUUCGACGCAACGCGCAGAACCUACCUGGGCUUGACAUCCCGAUCGCACUUCUGGAAACAGAGAGGUCAGUUCGGCUGGAUCGGUGACAGGUGCUGCAUGGCUGUCGUCAGCUCGUGUCGUGAGAUGUUGGGUUAAGUCCCGCAACGAGCGCAACCCUCGUCCUUAGUUGCCAGCAUUAAGUUGGGCACUCUAAGGAGACUGCCGGUGUUAAACCGGAGGAAGGCGGGGAUGACGUCAAGUCCUCAUGGCCCUUAUGUCCAGGGCUACACACGUGCUACAAUGGCCGGUACAAAGGGUAGCAAGACCGCGAGGUGGAGCCAAUCCCAAAAAGCCGGUCUCAGUUCGGAUUGGAGUCUGCAACUCGACUCCAUGAAGUUGGAAUCGCUAGUAAUCGUGGAUCAGCAUGCCACGGUGAAUACGUUCCCGGGCCUU